UGUCGAUAGUUUGGGCUCAUGGCAACCACCUCCGACUCCAAAAUUGCCGUCGCGCACGUUUUUCUCUAGUUUCUUUUACUUACUUUUCUUCAAUAAGAGGAAGUGCAAAUGCAAUUCCAGAACGAAGCACAGGUUGAGGUAUAAGUGGCAUGGUUUUGUUCUGGUAUAUUUUGAUUAGACUUGGUCUUGGUUACUGGGCCGCUUGCCUAGCAUAUAGCAAGAACGCGGGCAGCUUGUCUGUGAUAAUGUUCCUGGAAGUCCCUGCCUACUUGUUUAGUUCCAACUUCCUAUGACGACUUCAUUUCAUUAAGAUGGGGGGUUUCAAAACAUUUGUCUUUAUCUCUGGUAAACUCAAUCGGACCUGCAGGGGGCUGACACUUGAGUUGGCCUUUUUCUUUCGUUGCCCUUGGCCGGCUUUCCCCUCCUACAUU